UACGGAGGAUGCAAGCGUUAUCCGGAAUCAUUGGGCGUAAAGCGCGCGUAGGCGGCCCGGUAAGUCCGUUGUGAAAGUCAAAGGCUCAACCUUUGAAAGCCGAUGGAUACUGCCGGGCUGGAGUCCGGAAGAGGCGAGUGGAAUUCCUGGUGUAGCGGUGGAAUGCGCAGAUAUCAGGAGGAACACCAAUAGCGAAGGCAGCUCGCUGGGACGGUACUGACGCUGAGGCGCGAAAGCGUGGGGAGCGAACAGG
rnacentral:rRNA from 1 species